GAUAUAGCCUCAGUCGCGGUAACCGUGUGAACGGCGAGGAAACCGGUGCAUAUUCCGGUGCGGUCGCGCCACUGUGACCAGCGUUUCGGCGUUGGAAGCCAGACCUUCCCGUGCACACAUCGCAGA
rnacentral:ncRNA from 1 species